GUGAAAAGUACCAGUCAAGAUGAACUGUUGUAAUUUAAUUUUGGCAGGCCAAAAAGUUUUGAAAUAAUAAACUCAUUUUAAUUUUUUCCUUUUUUUCCAGGAUAAAAAUGGAGCUGUGAUUCCGGGACAAAAUGGAAAACUAGAGUUUAUAUUCAAGCAAGGCCUUGUAUUUUUUGUCUCCAGCUAUAAAGGCAAUGUUCGUGAUAAUUAUGCAUGCGUUCAAGCUGGGACAAUCUCUCUCCAUCAUUCUAGUGCUGUAGUUCCUUGCUCACCGGCAUCAUCUAGUGCCAGCUCAAAUUCAUCAACGAGUUUACACCUCGAUCCUACCAUCUACCAGUCUUGUGAAGAACUUCUCAAAGAUUCUUGUUCGGACAUGCUGGCUGUGGCUGUCAGCAUUAAAGUCAACGACUCGCGGUGAAAGUGAGUGGCAGUUCAAGCUUACCUGUUUAGUGCCCUAGUUUCAGAAAAGAAAAGUUAAAGGAAGCAUUAAGCAUGAAAAAAAAUUGAUCCUACAAAAAUGGCAAUGUUGUAUGAAAACAAGCCGGAAUCUACCGGAAGUGCUAAAUUUAUUUACCUAAUUCAUCAAAAUCCAUCAAUUAGUUAAUGCACUGUUGAUAGCUCUAACGGCUAAAUCUGUAUGAAAUCAACAAAGAAAUUGCAUCUCAAUCAAAUCGCAAUGUUGCUAGAAAAGAGGUAUACUGAGAGAUGCAGUAAAGCCCAAUCUAAACAAACCAAUAAUCCCUAAUACUACCAUCAAUUUAGCCCUAGUCUAAUUUCAGGCAUUCUGAAGCAUAUAAAAUUUGAUCCAUCCAAACAAUUUAGUAAUGGCAGAAGCAAAUCCUUUGAAACGAUUGAGGUCAUGUACUGUGACACUAUUUGUUUAUUUAGGUUAGGUUAUCUGACUUCUUCUUGUCAAACCUCG
rnacentral:lncRNA from 1 species